rnacentral:rRNA from 1 species
ACACGUGGCAUGCCUCAGUACGGCGAGUGAGCGGCAAGAGCUCAAAUUUGAAAGCUGGCUCCUUCGGGGUCCGCAUUGUAAUUUGCAGAGGAUGCUUCGGGUGCGGCCCCUGUCUAAGUGCCCUGGAACGGGCCGUCAGAGAGGGUGAGAAUCCCGUCUGGGAUGGGGUGUCCGCGCCCGUGUGAAGCUCCUUCGACGAGUCGAGUUGUUUGGGAAUGCAGCUCUAAAUGGGUGGUAAAUUUCAUCUAAAGCUAAAUACUGGCCGGAGACCGAUAGCGCACAAGUAGAGUGAUCGAAAGAUGAAAAGCACUUUGAAAAGAGAGUUAAAAAGCACGUGAAAUUGUUGAAAGGGAAGCGCUUGCGACCAGACUCGCCUCCAGGGUUCAGCCGGCAUUCGUGCCGGUGUACUUCCCUGGGGGCGGGCCAGCGUCGGUUUGGGCGGCCGGUCAAAGGCUCCCGGAAUGUAGUGCCCUCCGGGGCACCUUAUAGCCGGGAGUGCAAUGCGGCCAGCCUGGACCGAGGAACGCGCUUCGGCACGGACGCUGGCAUAAUGGUCGUAAACGACCCGUCUUGAACCACGGACCAAAAAGGAG